rnacentral:tRNA from 2 species
GGCGGGAUAGCUCAGCCGGUUAGAGCGCAGGAUUCAUAAUCCUGAGGUCGAGAGUUCGAGUCUCUCUCCCGCUA